rnacentral:rRNA from 1 species
UUAGUGGAAGCGUCUGGAAAGGCGCGCGAUACAGGGUGACAGCCCCGUACACAAAAGCGCAUAUGCUGUGAGCUCGAUGAGUAGGGCGGGACACGUGGUAUCCUGUCUGAAUAUGGGGGGACCAUCCUCCAAGGCUAAAUACUCCUGACUGACCGAUAGUGAACCAGUACCGUGAGGGAAAGGCGAAAAGAACCCCGGCGAGGGGAGUGAAAAAGAACCUGAAACCGUGUACGUACAAGCAGUGGGAGCCCCACCACUAAGCCAGUGGUGAACUCCACAUACGCAUCCUUUGCUGAGGAUACGGUUAACGGAGCGAAAGCGACGUUCAACCGCAAAAGAAGCAGAGGGGGCUUAGUGGUGGGGUGACUGCGUACCUUUUGUAUAAUGGGUCAGCGACUUAUAUUCUGUAGCAAGGUUAACCGAAUAGGGGAGCCGGAGGGAAACCGAGUCUUAACCGGGCGUUAAGUUGCAGGGUAUAGACCCGAAACCCGGUGAUCUAGCCAUGGGCAGGUUGAAGGUUGGGUAACACUAACUGGAGGACCGAACCGACUAAUGUUGAAAAAUUAGCGGAUGACCUGUGGCUGGGGGUGAAAGGCCAAUCAAACCGGGAGAUAGCUGGUUCUCCCCGAAAGCUAUUUAGGUAGCGCCUCGUGAAUUCAUCUCCGGGGGUAGAGCACUGUUUCGGCUAGGGGGCCAUCCCGGCUU